rnacentral:rRNA from 1 species
GCGACCCCAGGUCAGGCGGGACUACCCACUGAGUU